ACUCAGAUGACGAGUCCCAAAUAGGAGAAAACGCGCGUCGCAGAU
rfam:Schistosoma curassoni strain Dakar, Senegal genome assembly, scaffold: SCTD_contig0019709